GAUGAACGCUAGCGGCAGGCUUAACACAUGCAAGUCGAGGGAGCAGCGGGUAGGAGGUAGCAAUAACCACCUUGCCGGCGACCGGCGGAAGGGUGCGUAACGCGUGAGCAACCUGCCCGUCACUGGGGAAUAACCGUUGGAAACGACGACUAAUACCCCAUAGUUCUGGAGGACGGCAUCUCCCGAUCAAGGUAAAGAGAUUCGGUGACGGAUGGGCUCGCGUGACAUUAGC
rnacentral:rRNA from 1 species